AACGAAUGCUGGCGGCAGGCCUUACACAUGCAAGUCGAACGUGAAAGUCCUUCGGGAUGAGUAAAGUGGCGCACGGGUGAGUAACGCGUGGGAAUGUACCCUUGAGUACGGGAUAACAGCGGGAAACUGCUGCUAAUACCGUAUGAUCUCUACGGAGCAAAGAUUUAUCGCUCAAGGAUCAGCCCGCGUUAGAUUAGCUAGUUGGUGAGGUAAUGGCUCACCAAGGCUACGAUCUAUAGCCGGUCUGAGAGGACGAUCGGCCACACUGGGACUGAGACACGGCCCAGACUCCUACGGGAGGCAGCAGUGGGGAAUAUUGGACAAUGGGCGAAAGCCUGAUCCAUCCAUGCCGCGUGAGUGAUGAAGGCCUUAGGGUUGUAAAGCUCUUUUGGCGGGGAAGAUAAUGACGGUACCCGCAGAAUAAGCCCCGGCUAACUUCGUGCCAGCAGCCGCCGUAA
rnacentral:rRNA from 1 species